CCUAAUACGCAUCUUCCCCUGAACAGAAAACAACUUCUUCUUUCUUCUUCGUUCUUUUGUUCUUCUUCGGUUCCUCCCCGAGCAGCAAAACCUUGGGCUUCCUCCUCGUGCAACAACACGCAAACACCUGCAAUCUUUGUUAAACUUAAACGACAACACGUUAAUCUUGUUUUUCUCCUCAGUCCCAGGAAUGGAUAUGCCCAUCUUACAUACAUGAAUCUUCAAAUUACUUGUGUUUAUAGUUACACAUACUGCAUACGUUACUCCUUCAUGGAUAUUACCUUGAGUUGAUACUGUCUCCCUGUUUUGGUUAUCUAGAAUAUGACUCUGGAGACAAUCCAUAUAAGAGACUAUGAAACAUACUGUUGAUGGGGGAACUGAAUGUUUCAAAGGUCAUGCAAGGGUCAUUAUUCUGGGUGUGACACAAUGCUUUGAGUGUGCCAUUUGGUUGUUUCCUUCUCAAGUUAAAUUCUCUUUAUGUACAUAAAGCAGAAAUCUCUGGAACAGCUGCUCACUGUAUUGAUUAAGUGGGAUGAGGUACACAGUGGGAAGGUGUUCGAUGCAGAAAUAGUGGUGGUGGUGGUGCAAGUGGUACAUAAUCUUCCCAAACUCAGCACGGAAAUUGUUUGUCUUUCCAAUGUAUACAUAUCACUUCAUUUGCGCAUGAACUGUGCUAAUUUAGAACAGUAUGAAAUAACAUAAGUUGGAUUUUGUAUUAA